AGCGCCCGCUUCCAAGAUGGCUGCAGCGAUACCUGCCCGGUUGUCCGGGUGGCGGUGACGACGGGGAGCAGACCAGGUGACUGGUUAUCCUUGCUCAUUUCUGGUUCCCGCUGGUCCCAGAUUGGCUGUUGGAAUGCUUUUUUUCUGGCCCCUGUGACAGUUCCAAUUUGAGAUAAUGCCUCAUAUCUCUGCUCCCCGGGGACCUCCUGGAGCCCCCACGAUCCGGAACAAGGCAGCGUGAACACAGGGGGCUUCCGAAGUCUUAGUGCCCUGUUUGGUCGAGAUCCGGGCCCAACAUUC
rnacentral:lncRNA from 1 species